AGUGAACGCUGGCGGUAGGCCUAACACAUGCAAGUCGAACGGCAGCACAGUAAGAGCUUGCUCUUACGGGUGGCGAGUGGCGGACGGGUGAGGAAUACAUCGGAAUCUACUUUUUCGUGGGGGAUAACGUAGGGAAACUUACGCUAAUACCGCAUACGACCUACGGGUGAAAGCAGGGGAUCUUCGGACCUUGCGCGAUUGAAUGAGCCGAUGUCGGAUUAGCUAGUUGGCGGGGUAAAGGCCCACCAAGGCGACGAUCCGUAGCUGGUCUGAGAGGAUGAUCAGCCACACUGGAACUGAGACACGGUCCAGACUCCUACGGGAGGCAGCAGUGGGGAAUAUUGGACAAUGGGCGCAAGCCUGAUCCAGCCAUACCGCGUGGGUGAAGAAGGCCUUCGGGUUGUAAAGCCCUUUUGUUGGGAAAGAAAAGCAGCAGGUUAAUACCCCGCUGUUCUGACGGUACCCAAAGAAUAAGCACCGGCGAACUUCG
rnacentral:rRNA from 1 species